rnacentral:rRNA from 1 species
UACGUAGGGGGCAAGCGUUGUCCGGAAUCAUUGGGCGUAAAGAGCGUGUAGGCGGCUCGGUAAGUCCGCUGUGAAAGUCCAGGGCUCAACCCUGGAAUGCCGGUGGAAACUGUCGAGCUAGAGUCCGGAAGAGGCGAGUGGAAUUCCUGGUGUAGCGGUGAAAUGCGCAGACAUCAGGAGGAACACCAAUGGCGAAGGCAGCUCGCUGGGACGGUACUGACGCUGAGACGCGAAAGCGUGGGGAGCAAACAGG